rnacentral:rRNA from 1 species
UUCGAUCUCAAAUCAGGUAGGACUACCCGCUGAACUUAAGCAUAUCAAUAAGCGGAGGAAAAGAAACUAACAAGGAUUCCCCUAGUAACUGCGAGUGAAGCGGGAAGAGCUCAAAUUUAAAAUCUGGCGUCCUCUGGUCGUCUGAGUUGUAGUCUGGAGAAGCGCUUUCCGUGUUGGACCGUGUAUAAGUCUCUUGGAACAGGGCGUCAUAGAGGGUGAGAAUCCCGUCUUUGACACGGACUACCAAUGCUUUGUGAUGCGCUCUCAAAGAGUCGAGUUGUUUGGGAAUGCAGCUCAAAAUGGGUGGUAAAUUCCAUCUAAAGCUAAAUAUAGGCGAGAGACCGAUAGCGAACAAGUACCGUGAGGGAAAGAUGAAAAGCACUUUGGAAAGAGAGUUAAACAGUACGUGAAAUUGCUGAAAGGGAAACGCUUGAAGUCAGUCGUGUCUGCCAGGACUCAGCCUUGCUUCUGCUUGGUGUACUUUCUGGUUGGAUGGGCCAACAUCAAUUUCGACCGUUGGAGAAAGGCUUUGGGAAUGUGGCACCCUCGGGUGUGUUAUAGCCCUUUGUUGUAUACGACGGUUGGGAUUGAGGACUGCAGCACGCCUUUAUGGCCGGGGUUCGCCCACGUACGUGCUUAGGAUGUUGGCAUAAUGGCUUUAAGCGACCCGUCUUG